GAUGAAGAACGCAGCGAAAUGCGAUAAGUAAUGCGAAUUGCAGAAUUUCCGUGAAUCAUCGAAUCUUUGAACGCACAUUGCGCCUCCUGGUAGUCCGGGAGGCAUGCCUGUUCGAGCGUCACCAAAUCCAACUCAAGCGGUUUUGCGCUUGGUCGUGGCGGAAGAGUCGGUCUGGUUGCCGUCUCCCCUCCGAAAAUCAACGGCGGAAAGUCACUGGCAGUCAGCGUAGUAGUAUCGUUCGCCGAACAUCCAGUGGCAUUCCUGCCGACGUACCCCCACAAUUCUCGUGAUUGACCUCGGAUCAGGUAGGGAUACCCGCUGAACUUAAGCAUAUCAAUAAGCGGAGGA
rnacentral:misc_RNA from 1 species